UCAAACUGGUGUCUGUUGUAUGAGGCGAUAAGAGUUUUUAAUCAGACACACAGCUUAUUUAUUUUUUUCAGAAAUAUAGGAGGGAAGGAUCCUUCUAGAGAAAUGUUACUGCAAUAACCUUGACACUAAUUACUAAAUAUUAAACGAACAUUUUAAUAUUAAGAGUGCAAUAGAAAUGUGCAGCUGGUUAUACCUGGGUGAAAUGUCCUCUACAUUCUAUGACUGUUUGUUAUACAUCUCCUAGCAAAGAUGACACUCCUGGUAUGAUAUUUACCAAGCUUGAGAAAAUCCAGAUGUGUCUCUAGGCAGCAAGUCUGAGGAAACUUUUAGCUGAUUCCAGCUGAUGGAGUAGCUUCUAUUUGGAACAUUGCCAUCAUUUGGGGAAACCAAAUCGUGUGUCCAUGUUUCCUUCAACAAGAUAGGAAUGUAUAACUCUCCCACAAAGAAGGGGCCUUGCAG
rnacentral:lncRNA from 1 species